GGAGGUCCCUCUAAACCAAGAGACACAGAGAUCCACAUCACCUGUAGAUCUCACACUCUUCACUUCAGCUUCUUGACCCUCAAUCUGUGGACAAGAUGAAGCGUCUUGUGGCCUUGGCUGUGUUGAUGCUGGUGGUCUACAUGGCCAAUCCUGUUGCAGCACAGAGCGGACCCCAAGGACCAGAUCCAGAUUAUAACCCCCAUCACGCAGGCCCUGAGGGAGGUGGUGGUGGUGGCGGCGGAGGAGGCAGUAAUUGGUGGGGCAGCAGUGGUGGUGGCGGUGGCGGCGGUGGUGGUCGUUGAAACCAGGUCUCCAACAAGGGCUGGAUCACAUCUUAAUUACAGAAAUGCCUGCUUUCCUUUUUUAGAAAGUAAUAGAUUGACUAGUGUUAUCACUAUUCUUGUGUCUGCAUCAGUCAUUUGAGAAAACAUGAUGCUUUCUGUAGCCAGAUGAAAAUUUUGAAAUGGCAAUCAGCAUAUUUCACACUGCCCUGAUCAAUAAAUCUGCAUUAUGAAAAUUCAAA